CUACGGGAGGCAGCAGUGGGGAAUCUUGCGCAAUGGGCGAAAGCCUGACGCAGCAACGCCGCGUGCGGGAUGACGGCCUUCGUGGUUGUAAACCGCUUUCAGUAGGGACGAAAAUGACGGUACCUGCAGAAGAAGUCCCGGCUAACUACGUGCCAGCAGCCGCGGUAAUACGUAGGGGACAAGCGUUGUCCGGAUUCAUUGGGCGUAAAGAGCUCGUAGGCGGUCUAGUAAGUUGGGUGUGAAAGCUCCGGGCUCAACCCGGAGAGGUCACCCAAAACUGCUAUGACUAGAGUCCAGUAGAGGAGCGUGGAAUUCCUGGUGUAGCGGUGGAAUGCGUAGAUAUCGGGAGGAACGCCAAAAGCGAAAGCAACCGGCUGGGUCGAGACUGACACUGAGGGACGAAAGCGUGGGUAGCGAACAGGAUUAGAUACCCCGGUAGUCC
rnacentral:rRNA from 1 species